GAUAAUAUAUGGGAAUAUAUUAGCAACUAUGGCCUGCAUAAAGUCAGCAUUUAAUACAAGUGCUGAGUGAAUGCUUCCUCACCUGGGCUCCAGGAUCUUCAUUCCAUGGUCCCUGUGUCAGCCUGUGACAAGGUCUGCAACCUGAUCUCCAUCACUAUCAUCCAAGAAGGCCUUAUCUCUGAAUCUAAAGGAUCUUCUCUAAUUGUCUAGACUCUAGACAGACUCAACAAUUCACCAAGAAUCAAAGGUUUCCUCCAAAUUUCUGACUCUGUUUGCCAUACCCAGCACUCUACCAUGAAUUAGACCUCCUAUACCUGAUCAAUAAAUGAUUAUUCUUGCAGUCA